UUUAUUAAUUUAUUGAAAAAUGAAACUGUCGAGUGUCUACUGCUUUUAUUAUUAUCUGUCGUGAGAGAUUUUUCGGAGAAAUUGACAGCUCUGUCAGCAUCAGCAUCAGUGUCAGCGUCAACCUGUGUCAAGUACCAACAAAAAAUGAGUCAUUUUUCUUAGGAUUAUUUUUGGAGAAAUCAAAGAUUUUACUGUCAGUGUCAUCAAGUAUAAGCGAGAGAGAUCAACGACGAUUGGUGUUAACAGGCCUUGGCGAAACCCAGUUUCAAACCAAUUCAUACAACGCGUGGUGAGUUUAUUUAUUUAUUUUUUUUUUAUUUUUUUUGUUUGCUUUAAAUAUAUGAGAAAAUAAAAAGAGUAAAAAAA